rnacentral:tRNA from 7 species
GGAGAGUUGGCUGAGUGGCCCAAAGCGAGGGGUUGCUAACCCCUUGAGUCGCAAGACUCGCACAGGUUCAAAUCCUGUACUCUCCGCCU